GCCAUAGUUCAGUGGAAGAGCAUCUGCUUUGCAUGCAGAAGGUUCUAGGUUCAAUCCCCGGCAUCUCAGUGGGAGGCA
rnacentral:tRNA from 1 species